CGCUGGCGGCAUGCUUUACACAUGCAAGUCUAACGGCAGCACGGGGGCAACCCUGGUGGCGAGUGGCGAACGGGUGAGUAAUAUAUCGGAACGUACCCAGGAGUGGGGGAUAACGUAGCGAAAGUUACGCUAAUACCGCAUACGACCCAAGGGUGAAAGUGGGGGAUCGCAAGACCUCAUGCUCAUGGAGCGGCCGAUAUCUGAUUAGCUAGUUGGUGGGGUAAAGGCCUACCAAGGCAACGAUCAGUAGCUGGUCUGAGAGGACGACCAGCCACACUGGAACUGAGACACGGUCCAGACUCCUACGGGAGGCAGCAGUGGGGAAUUUUGGACAAUGGGGGCAACCCUGAUCCAGCAAUGCCGCGUGAGUGAAGAAGGCCUUCGGGUUGUAAAGCUCUUUUGUCAGGGAAGAAAAGGUCGCAGCUAAUAUCUGUGGCUCAUGACGGUACCUGAAGAAUAAGCACCGGCU
rnacentral:rRNA from 1 species